CCUACGGGUGGCAGCAGUGAGGAAUAUUGGUCAAUGGGCGAGAGCCUGAACCAGCCAAGCCGCGUGAGGGUGUACUGCCCUAUGGGUUGUAAACUUCUUUUGUCGGGGAGCAAAAGCCUGACGUGUCCGGCUGUGAGAGUACCCGAAGAAAAAGCAUCGGCUAACUCCGUGCCAGCAGCCGCGGUAAUACGGAGGAGCCGAGCGUUAUCCGGAUUUAUUGGGGUUAAAGGGAGCGUAGAUGGGUUGUUAAGUCAGUGGUGAAAGUUUGCGGCUCAACGGGAGAAUUGCAAUUGAUACUGGCAGUCUUGAGUGCAGUUGAGGUAGGCGGAAUGCGUGGUGUAGCGGUGAAAUGCUUAGAUAUCACGAAGAACUCCGAUUGCGAAGGCAGCUUACGAAACUGCCACUGACAUUGAUGCUCGAAAGUGUGGGUAUCAAACAGGAUUAGAUACCCCGGUAGUC
rnacentral:rRNA from 1 species